UGAGGAAUAUUGGUCAAUGGGCGAGAGCCUGAACCAGCCAAGUCGCGUGAAGGAAGAAUGUCCUAUGGAUUGUAAACUUCUUUUGUACAGGAAUAAAGAUACAUACGUGUAUGUAGUUGUAUGUACUGUACGAAUAAGGAUCGGCUAACUCCGUGCCAGCAGCCGCGGUAAUACGGAGGAUCCAAGCGUUAUCCGGAUUUAUUGGGUUUAAAGGGUGCGUAGGCGGGAUAAUAAGUCAGUGGUGAAAGUUUGCAGCUUAACUGUAAAAUUGCCAUUGAAACUGUUAUUCUUGAGUACAGACAAGGUAGGCGGAAUGUAUUGUGUAGCGGUGAAAUGCUUAGAUAUAAUACAGAACCCCGAUUGCGAAGGCAGCUUACCGGGCUGUAACUGACGCUGAGGC
rnacentral:rRNA from 1 species